UCGUUACAGAAACAUAGUCAUCAACUAAUACAUGUGCUAGUCUAAUAUUCAUGUGUGUCCUCACAUGAACUCCGACUAGGGACAACUUUAGAAUAAUCAUACAAGUAAAGAGUUUCACAUACAAUUCACAUAAUUGCAAAUCAAUUCAAGUAGCCUUUAAUGGUUAUUCAAGGAACACAAUAUAAAUCAUGGAUACAAAUGGCAUAACAUCAUCUCUAUGAUUGCCUCUAGGGCAUACCUUCAACAAGUAUGCUCAACAAGACUUAACCGACCAGGG
rnacentral:lncRNA from 1 species